AGAACGAACGCUGGCGGCAGGCUUAACACAUGCAAGUCGAGCGCCCCGCAAGGGGAGCGGCAGACGGGUGAGUAACGCGUGGGAACAUACCCUCCGGUUCGGAGUAGCUCAGGGAAACUUGGAUUAAUACCGGAUACGGCCUAGCGGCGAAAGAUUCAUCGCCGGAGGAUUGGCCCGCGUUCGAUUAGCUAGUUGGUGAGGUAACGGCUCACCAAGGCGACGAUCGAUAGCUGGUCUGAGAGGAUGAUCAGCCACAUUGGGACUGAGACACGGCCCAAACUCCUACGGGAGGCAGCAGUGGGGAAUAUUGGACAAUGGGCGCAAGCCUGAUCCAGCCAUGCCGCGUGAGUGAUGACGGCCUUAGGGUGUAAAGCUCUUUCGCUAGGACGAUAAUGACGGUACCUAGACAAGAACGCCCGGCUAACUUCGUGCCAGCACGCCGC
rnacentral:rRNA from 1 species